AUCCUCUUGUUUUCGGUACAGUCAGCAGAUGUGGCUUCUUUUAGCUGAAUAAUCCGUUAAGGGAAUAAUAAUUUUUAAAAAGGAGAUCGACCUCACCCAAAGAGGAUGGCGAAAGAGAUUAGGGCUGUAGAUCUAUUGCCUUAUCAUGGGCUGGCUGAAACGCUGCGGACUGCGACCAGUCUCUUAAAAAGAAGAACAAAAAGAGGAAGACCUUGAGUGGACCCCAGGACAAAGCACUUUGGGCUCAACAAGAAGCGACGCGUGGGAGCGCUGGCUCCGAACGGGAGUGAUCUCCGGUGCCCAAGAGCGCCCAUCCAGCGUGCGGACCUCUGAGGGGAUCCAACUGCAUUAGACACGAGUGACCUUUUAAAUCUACGCCCACCCUUUACCUG